UAUUCAUAAUAGUCUGCUAACUUAAAGCAUUGCUAAUUCUCACUCUGUCUUCUUCUAUUGACCUAAGUCAGAAUGAGAAAAAACACCCCUAAGCGGCUGUUUAAAGUUAGCGGACCAUUAUGAAUAAGGGGAUAAAUAUAUUCCUAGAAAAAAACUUAUGAUGUGAUCAGUAAACUGAUAAAAAAAACUACGUAAUAAAAAGUCCAUUUAUUAAAAUUAAUUAUUACAAAAUAAACACCUCAAAGAAAUUAAUAAUGGCAAUUCAUUCUUAUUUUUUAUAUAACAUAUGUAUAUGUGAUGAUUCAUAUGUAAGUAAACAUGAUUCUAAUUCUAAAUCUUUUCAAAAAAAAAUUAUCUGUAUCUAUAACAUGAUAACUUUUAAUAUUAAUAUAUUUUAUAAUUAACUAACCUUGGCAUAAAAGUGCACUUUAGGUUUAAACUCAAUAUUCCUGGGAAAAUUUUGUAUUUUGGGUAUAGCCACAGGCUUUAUAAUGGCUCAUGAUCUCCCUUAACCCUCAGAAUAAUGUUGCCCUUAAGUCUCAAAAGGAAAAAUAUUGCUAAUUAUAAAGGAGUUUUUAACAUGAUUAUUGCCAAUUUUUAUUAUGUACAUACAAUUUUUAACAGUUUGAACAAUUGUUAAAAAUUAUAAUUAUACUUACAGACUUAAUAUGCAGAUUUUAUGUUUUCCCACUAUGUUGUAUAAAAAUACCAAUAUCUACAUACAUAGUUAUGCCUAUAAUAUUUUUAAGUAUAUGCAGUUUACGACUCCCGUUUCUGUCACCCUUAUAAAAGAUAUUGCCAACUUACAACUUUAGAAUAAAAUAUUUUGUACAUUUAUUUGUAUAAUAUUUUUAGAAUAAUAACUAUUGAAUAAAUUUAACUUGACAAUAAUA